rnacentral:rRNA from 1 species
CGAGCGAAAUAAUUGAGAGCUUGCUUUUGAUUAUUUUAGCGGCGGACGGGUGAGUAACGUGUGGGUAACCUGCCUUUUACUGGGGAAUAAUCACUGGAAACGGUGACUAAUACCGCAUACGGUUCUUGGAAGGCAUCUUCUGAGAAAGAAAGGAUUUAUUCGGUAAAAGAUGGGCCCGCAUCUGAUUAGCUAGUUGGUGAGAUAACAGCCCACCAAGGCGACGAUCAGUAGCCGACCUGAGAGGGUGACCGGCCACAUUGGGACUGAGACACGGCCCAAACUCCUACGGGAGGCAGCAGUGGGGAAUAUUGCACAAUGGGCGAAAGCCUGAUGCAGCAACGCCGCGUGAAGGAAGACGGUUUUCGGAUUGUAAACUUCUAUCAAUAGGGAAGAAAAAAAUGACGGUACCUAAAUAAGAAGCCCCGGCUAACUACGUGCCAGCAGCCGCGGUAAUACGUAGGGGGCAAGCGUUAUCCGGAAUUACUGGGUGUAAAGGGAGAGUAGGCGGCAAGGUAAGCGAUAUGUGAAAGCCUUAGGCUUAACCUGAGGAUUGCAUAACGAACUAUCUAGCUAGAGUACAGGAGAGGAAAGCGGAAUUCUUAGUGUAGCGGUGAAAUGCGUAGAUAUUAGGAAGAACACCAGUGGCGAAGGCGGCUUUCUGGACUGAAACUGACGCUGAGGCUCGAAAGCGUGGGGAGCGAACAGGAUUAGAUACCCUGGUAGUCCACGCUGUAAACGAUGAGUGCUAGGUGUCGGGGAGGAAUCCUCGGUGCCGGAGCAAACGCAAUAAG